AUUGAACGCUGGCGGCAGGCCUAACACAUGCAAGUAGAACGAGUGGCGGACGGGUGAGUAAUGUCUGGGAAACUGCCUGAUGGAGGGGGAUAACUACUGGAAACGGAAGCUAAUACCGCAUACCAGCAGAUGUGCCAAGAUGGGAUUAGCUUGUUGGUGGGGUAACGGCUCACACAGUCGACGAUCCCUAGCGGGUCUGAGAGGAUGACCAGCCACACUGGAACUGAUCCACGGUCCAGACUCCUACGGAAGGCAGCAGUGGGGAAUCUUGCACAAUGGGCGCAAGCCUGAUGCAGCCAUGCCGCGUGUAUGAAGAAGGCCUUCGGUUUGUAAAGUACUUUCAGCGGGGAGGCGUUACCCGCAGAAGAAGCACCGGCUAACUCCGUGCCAGCAGCCGCGGUAAUUC
rnacentral:rRNA from 1 species